GGAUUAGAUACCCUGGUAGUCCACGCCCUAAACGAUGUCUACUAGUUGUCGGGUCUUAAUUGACUUGGUAACGCAGCUAACGCGUGAAGUAGACCGCCUGGGGAGUACGGUCGCAAGAUUAAAACUCAAAGGAAUUGACGGGGACCCGCACAAGCGGUGGAUGAUGUGGAUUAAUUCGAUGCAACGCGAAAAACCUUACCUACCCUUGACAUGUCAGGAAUCCUCGAGAGAUUGAGGAGUGCCCGAAAGGGAGCCUGAACACAGGUGCUGCAUGGCUGUCGUCAGCUCGUGCUG
rnacentral:rRNA from 1 species